UACGUAGGGUGCAAGCGUUGUCCGGAAUUAUUGGGCGUAAAGAGCUCGUAGGCGGUCUGUCGCGUCGGCUGUGAAAACUCGGGGCGUCAACCCCGACGCCUGCAGUCGAUACGGGCAGACUAGAGUGCGGUAGGGGAGACUGGAAUUCCGUGGUGUAGCGGUGAAAUGCGCAGAUAUCAGGAGGAACACCGGUGGCGAAGGCGGCACUCUGGGCCGGUACUGACGCUGAGGAGCGAAAGCGUGGGUAGCAACAGG
rnacentral:rRNA from 1 species